GAAUCUCAGUGGAUCGUUGCAGCAAGGCCACUCUGCCACUUACAAUACCCCGUCGCGUAUUUAAGUCGUCUGCAAAAGAUUCUACUCGCCAUUCGGUGGAAAUUGUAAUUCAAGGCAGUCCAUGCAACUCUUCCGUCU